rnacentral:lncRNA from 1 species
UAAAAACCAAAAAGAUUCCCUGCAUAUUUUCAUUCUAAAGUUUACUAAAAAGCAUACUAGUUCUCUUUUAAAAAGGAUUCUAUUUUCAUUAGGUUUUCUGGGCUCUAAGUCUGAAAUAGAGUUGGUCAUUGGAGAUGUGGUUUGUUUUGCUAAUUUGGUGUUGUGCUUCCUACGGAUUCUUCAUCUUGUUUUGACACUCAGAUUUUCCUUUUUCUUGUUGCUGUAACCAGGUAUUACACCCUACCAUGAAAUGCAAAACUGAAACAUAUUGGCUGGAUGAUUGAAAUAAUAGAUCUAUAUAUUUUUUUAUUUAGAACACCAUCUUGUUUUUCUUUUUGUUCUCUUCUUCUUCUUCUUCUGUUUAAAAUUCUCAUGUCAUUAUGUAAAGUGAAAGCUAUUUUUGUUCACCUCUUAAGUUGAGAGUCAGCAAUGGAGUCCUCAUGUGUACCUAAAGACUGGACUGUUAUUUAGCUUGUAUAUAUGGGACUGUUUUAGAUUUUAAAUGAACAUUGUCAAUACUAUAGCUGGAUUUAUUCUUCACUAGCAUGACUGUAAUGUACACAACACUGGGAAGUUUCAAAAGUUCUGAUUUAGAAUAGAAAUCUCAAUUGAAAAAUCCCUUUACACAUU